GGUGUGAAUCACAUAACUCCCUGUUACUUCCUGGUUUGUUUAGCUCAGUGGAGCUAAACUCAAGAGGCAGCAAUAGCCCAGAGCACCUGAUUUGCAAAGACUUCUCAUUAAACUGGAUUGGGAAGUCAGUGAUUGGACAGCCACAGAAAGUGUGGGUGGGGUUAGAAGGGGAGGACUUGCAAAGGCUACAGACAAGAUAUGCAUGUUUGUUGGGGAU